rnacentral:rRNA from 1 species
GUGUCAGCCGCCGCGGUAAUACGGGGGGUGCAAGCGUUGUUCGGAAUCAUUGGGCGUAAAGAGCGUGUAGGCGGCUUGAUAAGUCGGAUGUGAAAGCCCUGGGCUCAACCCGGGAAGUGCAUUUGAAACUGUCAGGCUCGAGUAGGGGAGAGGGAAGUGGAAUUCCUGGUGUAGAGGUGAAAUUCGUAGAUAUCAGGAGGAACACCGGUGGCGAAGGCGACUUCCUGGCCCUAUACUGACGCUGAGACGCGAGAGCGUGGGUAGCAAACAGGAUUAGAAACCCUAGUAGUCC